AGUCUUAAUUGGGCGUUAAGUUGCAGGGUAUAGACCCGAAACCCGGUGAUCUAGCCAUGGGCAGGUUGAAGGUUGGGUAACACUAACUGGAGGACCGAACCGACUAAUGUUGAAAAAUUAGCGGAUGACCUGUGGCUGGGGGUGAAAGGCCAAUCAAACCGGGAGAUAGCUGGUUCUCCCCGAAAGCUAUUUAGGUAGCGCCUCGUGAAUUCAUCUCCGGGGGUAGAGCACUGUUUCGGCUAGGGGGCCAUCCCGGCUUACCAACCCGAUGCAAACUGCGAAUACCGGAGAAUGUUAUCACGGGAGACACACGGCGGGUGCUAACGUCCGUCGUGAAGAGGGAAACAACCCAGACCGCCAGCUAAGGUCCCAAAGUCAUGGUUAAGUGGGAAACGAUGUGGGAAGGCCCAGACAGCCAGGAUGUUGGCUUAGAAGCAGCCAUCAUUUAAAGAAAGCGUAAUAGCUCACUGGUCGAGUCGGCCUGCGCGGAAGAUGUAACGGGGCUAAACCAUGCACCGAAGCUGCGGCAGCGACGCUUAUGCGUUGUUGGGUAGGGGAGCGUUCUGUAAGCCUGUGAAGGUGUGUCGUGAGGCAUGCUGGAGGUAUCAGAAGUGCGAAUGCUGACAUAAGUAACGAUAAAGCGGGUGAAAAGCCCGCUCGCCGGAAGACCAAGGGUUCCUGUCCAACGUUAAUCGGGGCAGGGUGAGUCGACCCCUAAGGCGAGGCCGAAAGGCGUAGUCGAUGGGAAACGGGUUAAUAUUCCCGUACUUGGUGUUACUGCGAAGGGGGGACGGAGAAGGCUAUGUUGGCCGGGCGACGGUUGUCCCGGUUUAAGCGUGUAGGUGUGUGUUCCAGGUAAAUCCGGUUCACUUUAACACUGAGGCGUGA
rnacentral:rRNA from 1 species